CCCGCGCAUCGGGAACGAGGGACGAGCUGAGCGCGGGGGUAUAGUUAACAUUGACACAGCGCCGCGCAAUGUGACAUUACAUUACAGCGCAAUAAUUGCAUACACCAACAAUGCGCGCACACGCAUGCGUCCCUCUGUUGUAUACAUCUAAUGCUAGGGAGCUGUAGCGGCAUCACCGCAAACACGGCUAAUGUUUGGCCCUCGGAUUAGGAUCAGACAUCAAUGCGAGCAUGGGAAGCAGGACCCCACCCCCCGGAGACCCCUCUCUUUUGGACCAUUUCCUCAAAUUACACAAUCGUCAAUUUAAACAAUCUGCCUACUCAAAAUGCGUCGCAUAGCAAUACAAUGUAUUACCCCAGAAAUGAAGUUACUUUUUCAGAAAACAGUGUCAUUUUGGCCCAUGAACAUCCUAAAUUAAUAUAAUCAUCAAAUUUCGACACUCAACAUGGCUUCAAUUUCAACAAUUCCGUCCAAACAUCAAGUCGAGCAUGACCACAAACAAAUUCAGGUGAACACUUUGGACGAAGAACCACGUGCGCGAUACAGAUGCAAGCACAAUCGAACAGACAACUAUACAAUAUUUCGGACUCAAUUACGUGAACUUCAGAAUCUUUUACAACUCUCCAAGGAAUGUCGCAAUACGCUGGAUACGUUAGAAUGCCCUGACAAAAGCAAUGCUGGCGAUUCAGAAUCAGUUGGUGAUAAUGAGUAUUAUGAUUAUGAAUCUGAGAACAGCGAAAAGACAUCGGUUUCCACCAGUGCUCAUUCAUUUCUGAUCGACAAGUUGACAGCUGUCAAAUACAAAGUUCCAGCUCAUCUCCUAGAAUUAGAUCCCGCCGGAAAUCUCAUGGAAUAUAAAGGAUGCUAUGUGUGUACCAGCGAAUUUGUCGAAUGGUGGAUUAACGAUGGUCCAACGCCCAGCAAUUCUGGUGUGCAAAAACUGGUCCGAUAUUUUUACAAUCGCAAUCACCUUCCUGGUGUUGUCAGCACAUCAAGCAUUCCCUAUCGGACAUCAGAUGAGUUAUUCGAAAAAGAAUUAUGUAUACAUGAAAACUAUUCCAGCAGUUGUACAUCUGUAGAACUAUAGCACUUUGUUUAACCUUAAAACCAAUAUAUACAAAAAUAUACGAUGAUAUGAAGUA